rnacentral:rRNA from 1 species
UACGUAGGGGGCAAGCGUUGUCCGGAAUCAUUGGGCGUAAAGCGCGUGUAGGCGGCUUGGUAAGUCCGUUCUGAAAGCCCGGGGCUCAACCCCGGGAGGCGGAUGGAUACUGUCAAGCUCGAGUCCGGAAGAGGCGAGUGGAAUUCCAGGUGUAGCGGUGAAAUGCGCAGAUAUCUGGAGGAACACCGGUGGCGAAGGCGGGUCUCUGGGCCGAUACUGACGCUGAGGAGCGAAAGCGUGGGGAGCGAACAGG